CCUCCGAUUAGUAGAUGUUGAUAUAGUGCCGAAAUUGCGUGUUCUAGUGAGGUGCCUUGGUCGCAGAGGACUUCAAACCACGUAAGGUCUCUAUGUAAUCGAUCAUUGUGCGGUAGUGAUUCAUAGAAAUGUUUCAGUUGUAGGUAUCUAAAUUGGAGGAGAGGGAUUCGUGGCCUGUCUCCUAAUAGCGAGGGAAGAUCCCGCAGUCUCCCGUCCUCGAGGGCCUUAUGUAUGGGUAUGUAUGCACUAGUACUCAGGAUGGGCCAUGCUCCAGAAGGGAGCCCUCCCCCUAUGGCUUCAUUAAGCGUGAUCGGCAUCAUUGGACUGG